GAUGAACGCUGGCGGCGUGCUAACACAUGCAAGUCGAACGGAAAGGCCCAAGCUUGCUUGGGUACUCGAGUGGCGAACGGGUGAGUAACACGUGGGUGAUCUGCCCUGCACUUCGGGAUAAGCCUGGGAAACUGGGUCUAAUACCGGAUAGGACCACAUUUUGGAUGGUGUGGUGGAAAGUUUUUCGGUGUGGGAUGAGCUCGCGGCCUAUCGGCUUGUUGGUGGGGUAAUGGCCUACCAAGGCGUCGACGGGUAGCCGGCCUGAGAGGGUGUACGGCCACAUUGGGACUGAGAUACGGCCCAGACUCCUACGGGAGGCAGCAGUGGGGAAUAUUGCACAAUGGGCGCAAGCCUGAUGCAGCGACGCCGCGUGGGGGAUGACGGCCUUCGGGUUGUAAACUCCUUUCGCUAGGGACGAAGCGCAAGUGACGGUACCUGGAGAAGAAGCACCGGCUAACUACGUG
rnacentral:rRNA from 1 species